GGACUCUCGGCAACGGAUAUCUCGGCUCUUGCAUCGAUGAAGAACGUAGCGAAAUGCGAUACUUGGUGUGAAUUGCAGAAUCCCGUGAACCAUCGAGUCUUUGAACGCAAGUUGCGCCCGAAGCCAUUAGGCCGAGGGCACGCCUGCCUGGGUGUCG
rnacentral:rRNA from 2 species